AAGGUCGACAUCAAGGAUAAAUACGGUUUUACCCCGAUACAGUAUGCCAGAGAGGAGCGUAUUAGGCAAAUGGUAUUCCGGAGCUUAUCCGAAGAUGAUGUUCAUACAUUCCGUGAUCUGCCGAUUGCAAGAUCUACUGAAACACAUCGUAGUAUUGGGUGUGAAGGCGGGACCCUACAUCU